CCAUCUCGAAUAAUGUCACUUUAAUUGGAAAAACUCCUAUACAUGUGUCGCCCUUGGGGUAACCACGUGUAAGCGGUAAAAAGGAGGUGUGACAGCUCUGCUGGGGAAGCGAACCCAGAAUCUCUGGUUCAUGGUUCAAGAAUUCAAGCUUACAAUAAUUGUUAUAUUUGGCUUCUUCUGCUUUGCUUACUUGUUCUAUGCUAAAUGCCACAUGUUUUACCGCUUUGAUAUUAUCUGAACUGUAUAUAUAAACUGUUACGAAACCCUUCACUUCUCAUCUCCAGGGAUGUGCUUACUGGUUGAGACUCCACAUUCUAUUAGUAUCUCACCCUGAAAUAAGAAAGAGGCCGGACAAGUUACAAAGUCGGACGAUCUCGCGGGUCCCCGGUACGUAGCCCCCUCCUCGAUUCGAGUUGUCCGCUCGGGUACACAGUCUAGACCCCAUGCCGAGGUUCUCAACCUAGUAUAACAAAACUUCAUGCCGGAUCCCUAGUAGGAACAUUUAUUUGCAUCAUGCAUUUUGACUUAAGGACUCAACACAAGGGUUGGAUCCGUCUAGGACAUGUGCCCUGAAAUUAAAUAUUACCCUGGUGCAUUUUUACGUGCUACUUGUGCAUUUAUCCCCCUUGGAUCUGCAUGUUGACCGGCUUGUAAACAAAGGAAAUAACUGAGCGAAAUAAGCAGUGCUAGGGUAGUCACAUUUAAAAACCAAUUCUCU
rnacentral:lncRNA from 1 species